UGAUACUUCAGGACUGCAUGCACCCCAACAACCGUCAGGUAGUCUAAGAUUUUCUGAUAGUAUCCUUCUUUGGGUGCUGACCGAGGUUCACGACUGGUAGGACAGCUGGGGAAUUGUAUAAGCAGCUAUCCUCCAUCUUUUACUUGGAAAGGACCAGUGUGGAAGUGCCUUCUGGUAUCUGUGCCUGCUUCAGGAUUCCUCUGUCCAAGAUAUCUGGUUUAAUACAGUUAAAGAAAAUGGCCAGGAGGAUCCUUCAAAGUGAAUUCGAUAGACAAUUUUGUAACGAUACAUGGCCACGUGAAACACUAGUAUUUUUUAAUGUGAUAAAUACAAAUACAGAUGAAAGCACAUGGGGCUACAAAUACAAUAAUACACAGGAUGGGCAUGCUGAACAAUUAGUUUUAGAAGAAAUCAGAAAUCAGUACGGUGACAUAGAAAAUUGUAGAAUAAUAUUAUAUAGUUCAUUUUCUCCUUGCCAUAUGUGCAGUGAAGAAAUAAAAAAAUUCAUGGACCUAAGAAAUCCUGUAAGUAUGGAAAUAAAAUAUGCAAAGCUUUAUUACAGUGACAGAGAAAACUGUAUAAACAAUUUGCGGGGAAAUUGUGUUGCAAUUGACGCGAUGACAGAAGAGGAUUACCAAGACUGCUGUCAUUCUGGACUUGUCAUUUGACAAGGCCUUCGAUUAUGAAAGUAGGAAGACUGCAAAUAAUUUGGAUAAAGAGGUGGAAGAAGGACAAGACAACAAUAUAUAUACUCAUGAUCCAAUGAUUGAAAGAAGCAGACAUUCACAUCAGAACAACAAGAAAUUUUUUUUCCAGGGGAUUGAUUUUUGGGAUGUUCAAUGACUAUUUUUAUUCUUAAUGUUUUAUUAUAUAGAUAUUGCAGACUUAAGCAGGCUUACAGGCAGUGGUGGGAUUCAGCAGGUUCACAACACUUCGA